UCGAACGGACCGUACGCGCAGCUUGCUGCGUGUAUGGUUAGUGGCAGACGGGUGAGUAAUGCAUAGGAAUCUGCCUAGUAGUAUGGGAUAGCCACUAGAAAUGGUGGGUAAUACUGUAUAAUCCCUGCGGGGGAAAGAUUUAUCGCUAUUAGAUGAGCCUAUGUCAGAUUAGCUAGUUGGUGGGGUAAUGGCCCACCAAGGCUGUGAUCUGUAGCUGGUCUGAGAGGAUGAUCAGCCACACUGGAACUGAGACACGGUCCAGACUCCUACGGGAGGCAGCAGUGGGGAAUAUUGGACAAUGGGCGCAAGCCUGAUCCAGCUAUGCCGCGUGAGUGAGGAAGGCCUUAGGGUUGUAAAACUCUUUCAGUAGGGAAGAUAAUGACGGUAC
rnacentral:rRNA from 1 species